CCUACGGGUGGCAGCAGUGAGGAAUAUUGGUCAAUGGGCGCGAGCCUGAACCAGCCAAGUAGCGUGAAGGAUGACUGCCCUACGGGUUGUAAACUUCUUUUAUAAAGGAAUAAAGUGAGGCACGUGUGCCUUUUUUUAUGUACUUUUUGAAUAAGGAUCGGCUAACACCGUGCCAGCAGCCGCGGUAAUACGGAGGAUCCGAUCGUUAUCCGGAUUUAUUGGGUUUAAAGGGAGCGUAGAUGGGUUGUUAAGUCAGUUGUGAAAGUUUGCGGCUCAAACGUAAAAUUGCUAUUGAUACUGGCAGCCUUGAGUACAGGUGAGGUAGGCGGAAUUCGUGGUGUAGCGGUGAAAUGCUUAGAUAUCACGAAGAACACCGAUUGCGAAGGCAGCCUACUAAACUGCAACUGACAUUGAUGCUCGAAAGUGUGGGUAUCAAACAGGAUUUGAUACCCCUGUAGUC
rnacentral:rRNA from 1 species